UUAACAAAUACCAUCAUCAUGAUCAUUGUUUCAUCCAUGAAUAGAUAUUUGGAUGAAGGUUUUCACGAGCAUCACUUUCUGCAUGUAAAAUGUCCUGCAGUUUCACCUUGAUUAAGAACUCUGUCACAAGACCUUUGUAGCGGGGCGGUUUGGAUCUUUUGUUUUCGUGUUACCGGGCCCCGGGAGAUGUCGGGAUUCAUUCUGAAAUGUCUGAUGGGGAAAUCGAAUGCGAACAGUCGGUUUCAGAGGUCUAUCCGUUUCUGGCACGAGUAGUCGCUAAGAAAACCAACAGGGUGGAUAUGACUUCCGUCACUCUUUAAGUAGUCUCUGGUCAUUACUUUUCUACAAAAGAAAAUUGAUAUGUAAUUGAUACUUCAAGUCUCCCCAAACAGAAUUUCUUGAAUUGUCAGUCAAGCAGGGGGAGCACUUGAAGCACUUUAAAAUGCCGUGAGAUUUUUGUAGAUUUAAAGAGUAACUUUUUUUCAGUGACUCUUGAAUAAGUGGCACUUUUUUCAUGGAUUUUAAGUACAUUAAAUGUUUUUAACAGGUCAGAAAAUGACAGCAGUAAAGUUCGGUGACUUUUUUUUUUCUUCUAAGAGAACAAGGAGGGCUUUGUUUCUGCAGAUGUUUUUCAGUGAAAUAUUUGAUCAAAAUUGUUGCUGUGUGUAUUGAAUUGCAGUAUGAGAACUAGAGAAUUCAGCCAUUUGUACAUUCCCUAAUUAAUGACUUUUUUAGUUUUUACAAAGACUGAAAAAUAAAUAUUUAUUGUGAUCAUCAAAUGUUCAUGGUAGUUCGAGGUUUUUAGUUAAUCGGCAUUCUUAAAAAAAUAAAUUGAAAUAUUCUGAAAAGAGUUUCUCCUAGUUUGCUAAUUUGACCAAACCUGUGUGGUGUCAUUCUUCUUUUUUUUUCAAUUGAAAAUACAGUUCCCGUAGCACCACUUUUGCACGAAAUAUUGUUACUAAGCAACAGCUGACGUCAGUUAGUGCUACACAAGAAGGUUUGUGUGUUUAUCUGCUGAGGGCAGACCCUCGGAAAAGGGCAAAAGUAUGAAACUCCAUUAGUCACUUCUGUAUAAAACCCAACGUGACUCUCCUCAGAUAUACGCGCUUCAAGUACACACUUGGGAUAGGAGAUGUUCUUCACUGGAGUAAGUGACAGCCUGAGAAUGUGAGCAGCAGAGGACUCAAUAUUUUGUCAAUUAAAUAUAAUGCAGAAUAUAUUUUCCUCAGGUCAUUAUUAUGUAGCAAGAGUUCAUACAAUAUUUGAAGUUGGUUACUAGCUCAAAAAAUAAAGCAAGAUACAUCGUU